rnacentral:lncRNA from 1 species
UGCAAAUAUUAAAGACUAAGAAAUAUUAGUAACUGACCUGAUUAAUAUGGAAUAAGUGUCCAGAAUAUUAAACUAUAUAACUAUUUAAAUAUGGCUGCUACAUGUAAAGCUUUCUCUCAAGGUAUAUCAAAAAGAGUGGCAAAAACUAUGAACUUAAUGACUGUGACCAAUAGUAGACAAGAUAAUAUGACACAUGACUGACUGACUAAUGAACCAGAAAAAUAGAGUAGAACUGUACUAAGAUAUAAGAGAAUAGAAGAAUUGAUGAACUCUUAAUAAACAUAUAAUAAAACUACUAAUUAAUAUUAAUUAUUCUAAAAGAAAAUAAAUAUUAAUGCUAAACACUCUACCACAUACUCCCCUGGC